rnacentral:rRNA from 1 species
CCUACGGGAGGCAGCAGUGAGGAAUAUUGGUCAAUGGUCGGGAGACUGAACUAGCCAAGCCGCGUGAGGGAUGAAGGUACAGAGUAUCGUAAACCUCUUUUGUCAGGGAACAAAGGCGGGGACGUGUCCCCGGAUGAGUGUACCUGAAGAAAAAGCAUCGGCUAACUCCGUGCCAGCAGCCGCGGUAAUACGGAGGAUGCGAGCGUUAUCCGGAUUUAUUGGGUUUAAAGGGUGCGCAGGCGGUCUGUUAAGUCAGCGGUCAAAGCCCGGGGCUCAACCCCGGCCCGCCGUUGAAACUGGCAGUCGCGAGUUGGAGAGAAGUAUGCGGAAUGCGCGGUGUAGCGGUGAAAUGCAUAGAUAUCGCGCAGAACUCCGAUUGCGAAGGCAGCAUGCCGGCUCCACACUGACGCUGAGGCACGUAAGCGUGGGUAUCGAACAGGAUUAGAUACCCUAGUAGUC